rnacentral:ncRNA from 3 species
CACGGACCAAGGAGUCUGACAUGUGUGCG